CACGUAGGCGGUGCACUAAGUCAGGUGUGAAAGCCCCCGGCUCAACCGGGGAAUGGCAUCCGAUACUGGUGUGCUCGAGGACGGUUGGGGUGAGUGGAACUCCUGGUGGAGCGGUGAAAUGCGUAGAUAUCAGGAGGAACACCGGUGGCGAAAGCGGCUCACUGGGCCGUCUCUGACGCUGAGGUGCGAAAGCUAGGGUAGCGAACG
rnacentral:rRNA from 1 species